rnacentral:rRNA from 1 species
AGUAACACGUGGGUUACCUGCCCCGAUGAUUGGGACAACCCGAGGAAACUCGGGCUAAUACCAAAUGUGCUCCUGGCCGUGAUGGCCUUGAGGAAAGGAAGCUUCGGCCUCCGCAUCGGGAUGGGCCCGCGGCCCAUUAGCUAGUUGGUGGGGUAACGGCCUACCAAGGCGACGAUGGGUAGCUGGUCUGAGAGGACGAUCAGCCACACUGGGACUGAGACACGGCCCAG